rnacentral:misc_RNA from 1 species
GAUGAAGAACGCAGCGAAAUGCGAUACGUAAUGUGAAUUGCAGAAUUCAGUGAAUCAUCGAGUCUUUGAACGCACAUUGCGCCCCCUGGUAUUCCGGGGGGCAUGCCUGUCCGAGCGUCAUUGCUGCCCUCAAGCACGGCUUGUGUGUUGGGCCUCCGUCCUCCUCCCGGGGGACGGGCCCGAAAGGCAGCGGCGGCACAGCGUCCGGUCCUCGAGCGUAUGGGGCUUCGUCACCCGCUCUUGUAGGCCCGGCCGGCGCUUGCCGACACAUCAAUCUUUUUUCCAGGUUGACCUCGGAUCAGGUAGGGAUACCCGCUGAACUUAAGCAUAUCAAUAAGCGGAGGA